UUGGAUUCUUCCUUUGCAGUAUCUGAUAGCAGAAGAUCAUGGUCUUUUGCUUCAAGAAAGUGGAGAUUCUUUACCAAGGUGGGUGUCAUGGUUUAGUGAAGGAGACCCUAUGGGUUCAAGGAAGACAGACAUGGUAUAGUGGUUAGAAACAUGGGCUCCGAUUGAGACACACUAGAUUUGAAACCUGACUUGAUUACUUACUAAUUCUAGAACCUUAGACAAGUGACUUCGUCUCCCCUGGUAUUUAUACCCACCCCCACUGCCAAUGGUAAAUGAGAGAUCAUUUUAACAUGCUCAUAGAGUCAGUGUGAGGAUUAAAUGAGGUAGCAUGUACAAAGUCCUUCAGCGCAGGACUUGGAAUGUGGUAAGCGCUCAGUACAUUGUAGCUAAAAUUCUGUCUCAUGAUCUUAGUAUAAACACAUCAUGUCUCCCACAGUGGUAGGUUAAGAAGGGUGCAGGAAGAACUCGUGGGAACAAGGGCAGGGUAUCAGAGGCAGGUGACACCCCGUGGGGCCCCGGUAAAAAGAUCAGGGUGGGGGAUACUCUGGAAACAUGGAACUAUUUUCAGAUACACAACAUACUUUCUCUGUAAACUCAUCAAGGAGCCAUGUUCAGCAUCGGGUGACGGGAAAUGUGCCUGGGUGUUACUGAGAAGGAAAGUAGACUUCACUUACAGGCUGGUUCCAGGGAUAGCUUUUCACUAAUUUGCUGGGUACCUGUGGCAGGUUGCAAUGGUGGCUUUGAUUUUUUAACCUCUUGAGCCUUGACUUCUGUUCUGUGACUUUCAAGAUCCCCCCACUAAAUAUGGAAUCUUUCAUGCCUUGAAUCUGGUCUGGCCUUGUGACUUGCUUCAGCCAAUAGAAUCCUUAAAAAGUAAUGGUUUCCUAGUUCCUAACUGAAGUCCCAAGAGACCUGCAUGUCUCUAGCUCCUCUCUGUUCUUCUACCAUGGCCACAAGGACAUGGUUUGUAACUUACUAGAGAAUGAGAGACACAUGGAGCAAAGCCAAGUCACCCCAACUGUCCCAGCAGAGGCUGACCUGGUCAGUGGGCAGCCAGCCACAUCUGAGCUCCGAAAGUCAGCCAAGCAAAGGUAACAGAGCCGUCCAGCCUAACAUCCUUGAGACCCGAGCAAUAAAUGCUUAUUGGGUGAGGUUUUGUGUGGUUUUUCUUAUGUAACCUUGCCAGGAGGAGAGAGAACUGAAAAGUGAUCUUGACAGUGUAACUUCAUUUUAUUCCUCAUCUGGGAUUCACUCAUUCACUCCACAGAUAUGGAGUGCCCACUGUGUGUCAACCUUGUGCUAAGCAUUGUUGGGGAGACAGAGAUGAGAGCAGCAUCAUUUUCCCCAGGAGGCUGUUGGUGGAACAAGAGUGUGUCCUUAGAGGACGGAUUCUCUCUACUUCAUUCACCACUGUAUCCGGAUCACCUAGAAGAGUGAGCUGGCCCUUAGAAGAUGUUGGAUUGACAUUUUUUUUUGUCUUAUGCAGAACAGAAGCCCUGUGAGACCUAUAGAGCUUUAGCUGAAGCUACCAGCAACCCCUCCAUGGUGUGGCAUUGAAUUUUGAGGCCCACGCUGUUUCCAUCAUGGGGAAGCCUCAUCUUCAGGCAGAGACCUGGAAGCAGCGAAAAGAGUGACUGGGUGUCGUCUGGCUUUUUGAAGGAAUAAGAGGUACUUGGAAACGAAAGCUGAAUGAGACCUUGACACCACCCUUGAAAAGUUUGCAGUCCAGUGGCAGACACAAAAUUAGAAUUAUAAACCAAGAAAUGCUGUGAAGUGAUAGAGAUUUGUACAAAUAACGUGGGGCCACAGCAGAAGAGGCGGUGAAGUCUACCGAGAGGAGAGAGGUGUCCGAAGACUUCAU